UUCCGGUUGAUCCUGCCGGAGGCUACUGCUAUUGGAAUCCGAUUAAGCCAUGCGAGUCUAAAGGACUUCGGUCCUUGGCGGACGGCUCAGUAACACGUGGAGAACCUGCCCUCAGGAGGGGGAUAACCCCGGGAAACUGGGAAUAAUACCCCAUAGGUCUAGGAUGCUGGAAUGCUUCUAGGCUGAAAGCUCCGGCGCCUGAGGAUGGCUCUGCGGCUUAUCAGGUUGUAGUGAGGGUAACGUCCUCACUAGCCUAUGACGGGUACGGGCCCUGAGAGGGGAAGCCCGGAGAUGGACUCUGAGACACGAGUCCAGGCCCUACGGGGCGCAGCAGGCGCGAAAACUCCGCAAUGCUCGAAAGAGUGACGGGGGGAUUCCAAGUGCCUACGCUCAGCGUAGGCUGUUCAGAUGCCUAAAAAGCAUCUGGAGUAAGGGCUGGGUAAGACGGGUGCCAUCUGUGGCAGCAGCCGAAAAUUUGGCUUGCUACUGCAAGGCAUAAGCCGCCGCGGUAAUACCCGCAGCUCGAGUGGUAGUCGAUUUUAUUGGGCCUAAAGCGUCCGUAUCCGGUCUGGUAAAUGCUUGGGUAAAUCGUCUGGCUUAACCAGACGAAUUCCGGGUAGACUACCAGACUUGGGACCGGUUGAGGAAGAGGGUACUUCAGGGGUAGGAGUGAAAUCCUGUAAUCCUUGAAGGACCACCAGUGGCGAAGGCGCUCUUCUAGGACGGGUCCGACGGUGAGGGACG
rnacentral:rRNA from 1 species